UGGGAGAUCGUCUAACGGUAGGACGACGGGCUCUGGACCCGUUAGUGGGGGUUCGAAUCCUCCUCUCCCAGCCC
rnacentral:tRNA from 1 species